rnacentral:tRNA from 1 species
GCCUGGGUGGCUCAGUGGUUGAGCAUCUGCCUUCAGCUCAGGGAAUGAUCCCAGGGUCCUGGGAUCAAGUCCUACACCAGGCU